rnacentral:lncRNA from 1 species
CAGCCUGCAAACAUUACAUGUAGUACCUCAUACUCUUCACAUCACUUCUACACCAUCUGUGCUGGUCAGUUUAAUGUGUCAACUUGGCUAGGCUCUAGCACCUAGUUAUUCCAUCAAGCACUAAUGCAGGUGCUGCUGUGACGGUAUUAUAGUUAUCAUGGGUUAAUGUCUACAGUCGGGGACUUUAAGUAAGGAUUGUCCUUGAUAUUCUGGGGACCUCAUCCAAUCAGUAGAAAGACCUCAACAGCAAAACUGAGGUUCACUGAGGAAAAUAAAAUUUUGCCCCCGGUCUCGUCCACAGCAUCAGCUCCUGCCUGCAGACCUCUAGUCUGUCAGCCUGCCCUGCAGAUUUCAGCCUUACUAGGCCGGACUCCACAGUCCCACAGCCAAUUCCUUAAAAUAUACAUAUUUAAAUUCCUGAUUCUGUUUAUCUGGUAUAACCCCUACCAAUGCACCGUAUAAAUUUAUGGAGGGUGCAGAGAGGAUUGUGGUGGAGGAAGUGCAGUUCUACUACAGCAAAAGUUGAGUUAGAAAUUCCUGCCGCAGUUGGAUAUGGGUUGAGUUGGGUCAAGGGUGGCAAUCAAUAAGGUUAAUAAAGCAUAAAUAUUUUCACUGUCUCUCACACUCUUUAAAUAUUUCCUUCUUUUGCCUUAGAGUAUGCUUUGAAUGGUGGUAGUAGUGGCAGAAGCUACUUUAGAGAAUUCUACGAGUGAACAUUCUCAUAAACACACACACACACUUAUGCCAGCCAGAGUCCAGGAGAUUUGGGAAUCACACAGAGAAGAAUCACCUCAUUUCCCAACUGCAUCUGGGACUGUCUUCCACACUGCAGAGAUGGUCUUUAAAUCCAUGUAAAGUAAUAACAUUUGUUAAUUUUAUCAAUUUAGUGGAGCACUUAACAUCAGCCAAGCACUUUUUAUAUACUAGCUCUUUUAAUUCUUUGGAUAAUAUUCGAUCUCCAUUGUACAGACAAGGAAACAGAAACUGAUGCUCAAGGUCCAGUACCUUCUCCAAAGUCACACAGAAAAUAUGAGACAGAAUGCUGACUCCAAAGCCCUGUUGUAGGUGCGUUGUAUGAUUAACCUUGCUUCAUAGUAUUUGCUUUGCUUCAUAUCAUUAAUAUAUUAAAGGACACAUUAUUUUUACUGGAGAAAGUUUAUUUUUAAAAGAAGUUGAACUGCUUCAGAUGUAGAAUGCUGGAAAGACCAUCACUCCCAUUCUUCCUACUCCAAUAGAAAACCAAGCCAGAUAAUUUGAAAUUUUGCAACUUUUCUUUAAUCCAGCAGAG